AUUUUUUGAGACAGGUUCUCAUUCUCUCACCUAGGCUGGAGUGCUAUAGCAUGAACAUGGCUCACUGCAGCCUUGACCUCCUGAGCUCAAGUGACCCUACCACCUCACCUCCUGAGUAGCUGGGGCCACAGGAUUCCAUUUGGAAUUGUGACUCUGACUGCCUCUAGAACGUGUUGCAUCUGGAAAAUUCACCAAGACUCAAACCAAGACAGAGAAGAACAUGAAUAUGGAAUGAUGAGGAUGUGGCGUAAAUGGAUGUGGACACUGAAGCAGGAUGAACGUCAAGAGGCUCACCCUGGGGUCACAUCCAGCACAGCAGGGAUUAAAAUCCACCGACUUCACAUUUCUAGCCUAUCACUUGCCCUGCCAGCUUACCGUCCACGCUGUCAGGAACAGAAGUCUGGCCGCCUCAUGUGAUUAAGUGUGAAUGUACUCUCUCGCUCCUGAUUCACCAUUCUCAGGGGCAGCAGUGCAGGGAGCCUGGAAUAUGUAUCUGCCUCCAGAGCACACAGAGGGAAACUCACGGGAAAGAGACAGACUCCAGAAGCUGACUUCAAGAUCGGGGGUCACACCUCCUUAAAAACACAGCAGGUCGUGUGAGUUUCCUGUGCUUUGCUUACUUACCAAAUUAUUUACAGAACCUCCGAUUUCC
rnacentral:lncRNA from 1 species